rnacentral:lncRNA from 1 species
ACUUAACACAUGUUAAAAUGGUCAACUUAUGUUACAUGUGUUUUUGUGCUUUAUCAUGGAGAGAGAGAGAGAGAGAGAGAAAGCAAGAGACAGAGACAGAGAGAGAAGCAAGACUACCCACAGGGCCUGUGCCAGGCCCAUGGAGCCACAUAAAGCUGGACACUUCCCAUAAGUUACUUCACUGGCUUUCUACUGUCCUCUGGAUAAAACUCAAACCCUUAGUGUGACCACAGAAGGUGCUUUUUAUCUGUUCAAUUUUAUCUCUUGUGACUCUUUUGAAAGAGAAGGACCUCACAGAAUGAAGACACAUUAAGACAAAGCAAUGUAGAAAAAGAAAUCUUCCUCAGGUAACGUUCUAAUGUUAUUUAUUGCCAAUCACUCAUGUUAGAAAAUCUGA